CGAGGAAAAGAAAUCAACCGAGAUUCCCCCAGUAGCGGCGAGCGAACGGGGAGGAGCCCAGAGCCUGAAUCAGCAUGUGUGUUAGUGGAAGCGUCUGGAAAGGCGCGCGAUACAGGGUGACAGCCCCGUACACAAAAGCGCAUGUGCUGUGAGCUCGAUGAGUAGGGCGGGACACGUGGUAUCCUGUCUGAAUAUGGGGGGACCAUCCUCCAAGGCUAAAUACUCCUGACUGACCGAUAGUGAACCAGUACCGUGAGGGAAAGGCGAAAAGAACCCCGGCGAGGGGAGUGAAAAAGAACCUGAAACCGU
rnacentral:rRNA from 1 species